rnacentral:rRNA from 1 species
UACGAGUGCCCCAAGCGUUAUCCGGAAUCAUUGGGCGUAAAGGGUGUGUAGGUGGCGAUGUUAGUCUUCUGUCAAAUUCUUCGGCUUAACCGGGGGUCUGCAGGGGAAACGGCAUUGCUCGAGGAUGCGAGGGGUGAAUGGAACUCAUGGAGUAGGGGUGAAAUCCGUUGAUAUCAUGGGGAACACCAAAAGCGAAGGCAAUUCACUGGCGCAUUCCUGACACUGAAACACGAAAGCGUGGGUAGCGAACGGG